AGCUUUUCGCAGUGGCAGUAUCGUGGCCUCUGAGGUUUGUCCAAGGCGAGAUUUUUGCUAGUUGAAAACUUUACCCAAUACCCCGCCUUGACGACUUGAAAAGUAAUCGGCAAUAGCAAUUUUUUGACAGUCUCCAAGGAGA
ensembl:snRNA U4 U4 spliceosomal RNA